rnacentral:rRNA from 1 species
GACGAACGCUGGCGGCGUGCUUAACACAUGCAAGUCGAACGGUGAAGCGCCUUCCUUUUUGGUGGGUGUGGAUGAGUGGCGAACGGGUGAGUAACACGUGAGUAACCUGCCCCCUUCUUCUGGAUAACCGCAUGAAAGUGUGGCUAAUACGGGAUAUUCUGGGUCUGUCGCAUGAUGGGUCUGGGAAAGAUAUUGUUUCGGUGGGGGAUGGGCUCGCGGCCUAUCAGCUUGUUGGUGGGGUGAUGGCCUACCAAGGCGGUGACGGGUAGCCGGCCUGAGAGGGUGGACGGUCACACUGGGACUGAGACACGGCCCAGACUCCGACGGGAGGCAGCAGUGGGGAAUAUUGCACAAUGGGCGAAAGCCUGAUGCAGCGACGCCGCGGGAGGGAUGGAGGCCUGCGGGUUGUGAACCUCUUUCGCCAGUGAAGCAGGCCUGCCUCGUUUGUGGGUGGGUUGACGGUAGCUGGAUAAGAAGCGCCGGCUAACUACGUG